GAGUUUGAUCCUGGCUCAGGACGAACGCUGGCGGCGUGCUUAACACAUGCAAGUCGAACGGGGCACCCUUGACGGAGAUUUCGGUCAACAGAUAGGAAUGCUUAGUGGCGGACGGGUGAGUAACGCGUGAGGAACCUGCCUUUCAGAGGGGGACAACAGUUGGAAACGACUGCUAAUACCGCAUAAUAUAUACGGACCGCAUGAUCUGUAUAUCAAAGAUUUAUCGCUGAAAGAUGGCCUCGCGUCUGAUUAGAUAGUUGGCGGGGUAACGGCCCACCAAGUCGACGAUCAGUAGCCGGACUGAGAGGUUGAACGGCCACAUUGGGACUGAGACACGGCCCAGACUCCUACGGGAGGCAGCAGUGGGGAAUAUUGCACAAUGGGCGAAAGCCUGAUGCAGCAACGCCGCGCGAGGGAAGACGGUUUUCGGAUUGUAAACCUCUGUUUUCGGUGACGAACAAAUGACGGUAACCGAGUAGGAAGCCACGGCUAACUACGCGCCAGCCGCCGCGGUAAUUC
rnacentral:rRNA from 1 species